UCUCAGGAUCCAGUCGCGGUUCGUUCUUCGUCCGGGUCGUGUCUGGGUCUCGCUCCUGUGUCGUUGUGAUUAUUUGUGGUUCAUUGCUGGGUUAUUGUCGUUGAUCGUAGCUCUGCGAAGAUCUUCUGUUAAAAGGGAGUUACGCCAAAGGUGGGAGGAAGCAGUACCGACGCAUACCGGCGUGGCACUCUGUCACGUAUGGUAGCACUCGCGAAAAACCGCGGCUCUCACCCUCCCUCAAGCCGGCGUUUCCGCUUCCCUUGAGUCCACCGGCGGCACAAAGCCCUCGACGCUUCCCAGAACACCGGCGAGAUGCCCGGAAACUUCGUCUUCACGCAGGACAAUCCCGAUAACCUGAACUGCGCAGGGGAACCCGAUGUCCUGGAACCGCACAUGCGCGACACAAUCAAGGAGAAUGACAUCCUUAUCUGGAUCUAUAACAUGAUCGACGAAGCAGCCAGAGUGGACUUCGAAUUCUUCCUAAAAGACGGAUGUAUUUUGUGCAAGCUGAUGAACCGCAUAAAACCGGGUAGCAUUCCGGAGGACAGCAUCACGUGGGAGGGCGCUCGGAGCAAACAGCAGAACAUCAAGAACUUCCUCGAAAAUGCGGAAGCGUACGGCGUGCCCAAGGAGAAGCUCUUCCACCCUGAGGAUCUGCUCCACUUGCGCAACGUCCCCCGGGUGACCAGGUGUAUCUACGCCCUGGCGAAGUGGUGGCGCAGGACCCCAACAUGGGCGCUGACUGCCCCAAGCUGGGAGACGAGCCGAGCUUCAUGAAGGAACAGAAGAAGAAGAUCGACGUGCCUGGACACAGAGACACGAAGGACGUCCUGGCUCAGCUGACGACCGCGAAACCCAAGGAGGAGAAGAAGACGACCAAGCACUCGCUGUAUAAAUGAGGGAGAGGGAGGUGGAGGAUGGAAGAAGAAUAGAGGGAGUGAAGGGAGAGAGAGGUGGAGGAUGGAAGAAGAAUAGAGGGGGUGAAGGGAGAGAGAGGUAAUGGGAAGAAAGAGUUAC